rnacentral:rRNA from 1 species
GUGGGGAAUAUUGCACAAUGGGCGAAAGCCUGAUGCAGCAACGCCGCGUGAGUGAUGAAGGCCUUAGGGUUGUAAAGCUCUUUCAGUAGGGAAGAUAAUGACGGUACCUACAGAAGAAGCCCCGGCUAACUUCGUGCCAGCAGCCGCGGUAAUACGAAGGGGGCUAGCGUUGUUCGGAUUUACUGGGCGUAAAGCGCACGUAGGCGGAUUGGUCAGUUAGAGGUGAAAUCCCGAAGCUCAACUUCGGAACUGCCUUUAAUACUGCCAGUCUCGAGUCCGGAAGAGGGGAGUGGAACUCCUAGUGUAGAGGUGGAAUUCGUAGAUAUUAGGAAGAACACCAGUGGCGAAGGCGGCUCACUGGUCCGGUACUGACGCUGAGGUGCGAAAGCGUGGGGAGCAAACAGGAUUAGAAACCCCGGUAGUCC